rnacentral:rRNA from 1 species
GAUUCUGGCUCAGAUGAACGCUGGCGGCGUGCUUAACACAUGCAAGUCGAACGCGAAAGGGACUUCGGCCCUGAGUAAAGUGGCGCACGGGUGAGUAACGCGUGGAUAAUCUGCCCUUAUGAUCGGGAUAACAGUUGGAAACGGCUGCUAAUACCGGAUACGCUCAAAAUGAACUUUUUUGAGGAAAGAUGGCCUCUGCUUGCAUGCUAUCACGUAAGGAUGAGUCCGCGUCCCAUUAGCUUGUUGGCGGGGUAACGGCCCACCAAGGCAACGAUGGGUAGCCGAUUUGAGAGGAUGAUCGGCCACACUGGAACUGAAACACGGUCCAGACUCCUACGGGAGGCAGCAGUGGGGAAUAUUGCGCAAUGGGGGAAACCCUGACGCAGCGACGCCCGCGUGAGCGAAGAAGGCCUUCGGGUUGUAAAGCUCUGUUGUAAGGGACGAAUGUCUAGGGUAGUAACUGACCUUAGAAUGACGGUACCUUACCAGCAAGCCCCGGCUAACUACGUGCCAGCCGCCGC